UGAGUAACCUGCCCUUGACUCUGGGAUAAGCGUUGGAAACGACGUCUAAUACCGGAUACGACCCUCAACCGCAUGGUUAGGGGGUGGAAAGAUUUUUUGGUCAAGGAUGGACCCGCGGCCUAUCAGGUAGUUGGUGAGGUAAAGGCUCACCAAGCCGACGACGGGUAGCCGGCCUGAGAGGGUGACCGGCCACACUGGGACUGAGACACGGCCCAGACUCCUACGGGAGGCAG
rnacentral:rRNA from 1 species